rnacentral:rRNA from 1 species
AUCAGCCUUUCGGGUGCGAUUCUGUGGAGUGUGAGGAGCUUAACACCUUCAUGCUUUGCAUAUUUGUGCUCUUGGGUGUACUUGCCCGUGUGGUUGGUUAACAUCAAUUUUGGUGGUCAUAAAAUGACUGGAGGAAUGUAGCUUCGAUCUUGUAUUGAAGUGUUAUAGCCUUCGGUAGAUGUGAUGAUCGAGAUUGAGGAUUGCAACGGAUACCCUUCGGGGCUACCUGUCUGAUCUCUGAUCGUUGCUCUGGUGCCGAAAGCUUGCUUACGGUUAUCAAAGUCGAUGGUCAAUAGGUUAGAAUGGGUUAAAUUCGUUAAGGAUGUUGACGUAAUGGCUUU